GGAAUGUGAGUUCCCGUUCUGCCCAGGAGUAUCGCGAGAGUUCACCUGCGAGCAGCGCGAUUUACAACGCGAUGCAGGUGCUUCUUAUGAAGUGUGAGAAUCGGGAAGUUCUUGUGCAUGAAGCAAGACUUUAAGUUUAAAGUCACAGUGGAGCCACUGAGCAGUGAGACUAAGCAUACUCGUCAGGCUUACAGCUGAAGACCAAACAUCUGUGGUGAAGUUCAUCGCGGAGUGGUUAUGAAGAAGCUCGUGAAUAUGAUCUGUCAUACGGUUGUAUAACUCCGAAAUCAACUCUGAUAGUGUCACCCCUUUGGUGGAACGCACCAUUAGGAGUGACUGACCUAGAUCAGACUGAGCGACUUUCCAGUAUCGGCAGAAGAUGGUCGGUGAGGAUGCAUCAUCUUCAGUCCUGGAUUUGUUCCCUCGUUUCCUUGAUGUACCUGGAUUGAUCGACCAGGAUUUCUCCAUGAUGUUUGCUGACGAAGUGUCUCAGAAGUUCCUGGCAAAGUGGUCAACAUUCUUCAAGCCAAAAAUCAUUGCAGACUGCAAGUCUCUUAAGAAUAUGGGCGAGCUGCUGUCAGGAACUGAACCUGAAUCUGAGGAUUACAAUGGUCAGUAUAAACUGUUUUGUAUUUUAAAAAUGUUCCAGUCUUUAAAAAAAUAAUUAAAGAGAGAUUGCUGCAGCGAGAUUAACAGCCUUGAAGAUGUUCACAUGUUUUGUAUGUAAAUCACACCUCAGAACUUGUUUGGUUCUUUGUCAACAUUUAAAAUUUCAACAUGGUUUAUAUCCUAGCAAAAAGUUACGUUUAAAAUGUGGAGAGCCAGGUUGCCCUUUAUCAUUUUGUACUUAUAGUGGCUUCCGAAAUCACCUCAGCAAAGUACAUAGUCACACUAUUGAUCAAGAGAUUGAUACUAAUCAGGAUCUUUCCACUCGGGGAAAAUAUGAGGCGGAAUGCUCAAAUGAUCGCCCAAAUUCUGUUGCCACUUUACAUCCUUCACAAAGUCCUGUUGUUACAAGUCAGCUUCAAUGUGUGGCUCAAUUGUUGCUCAUUUGCAAGCAUCAGGUCUUUCUGAAAGUGCUGUCCAAACAAUUGUUUGUUCAAUGGAAGAAGUUGUUAAUGAUGUUAAAAUCCAAGCAUGAGAUGCAGUUCUUAAAACUGUUACUCCUGAAAGUACAAGUUCAGACACUUGUAGAAGAAUAAAUCACUGUUUUGAUCAAUUAGGUAAUCCUUUUUCAGCAUUAGACACUGUGUCAAGGAGACAUAAAUAUUAUGAUGAGAAAUGGGAAAUAGUUCUUGGGGUGAGAAUGGAUUUGCGCAGAGAUAGAACUACAGGCAGGUUCCUGUAACGGACAAGUGCAUGUAUGUACCCAUUCUGGGUACACUGAAAUCCAUAUUCAUUCAUUUACAGGACAAACAGAGUGGAAUUGGAGUUUACAAAGACAUUAAUGAUGGGUCGUAAUUUCCAAAACCAUACACUGUUCUCACAGCAAAAGCACGCUUUUCAGAUUCUACUCUAUUACAACGAUUUUGAAACUUCUAACCCUCUAGGUUCCAAGAGGGGGAUCCACAAACUUGGUUGUAUCUAUUUUACUCUAAAAAAAACUCUGUACUGAUUAAUGUACAUCAUGCAGCUCUAUUCUACAUGGAAGAUCUUAAGACAUACGGUUUUGAUGUGAUACUAAAGCCCCUUAUUGAUGACCUGAAAAUCUUAGAAACUGAAGUCAUACAGCUUCAUUGUUUUGAACCACCAUUGUUUGGCUCAGUAAUUCAAGUAACAGGAGAUAAUUUAGCUUUAAAUGGCUUGCUGGGAAUCUUACAGUGCAACUAAUUUCUGUAGGCUUUGUUUAAUUAGUAAGGAAGAAUCUAUAUUUACUGAAGGUCAUUCUAGGUUAAUUUUCCGUUCCAAAGAGGUUCAUACUGAACAUUGUAAGGCACUAAAUGAAAAUCCUGAACUGCGGUCAAUAUAUGGUGUCAAAAAGUCAUGUGUGCUCAAUUCAUUAGAGUAUUUCCAUUGUACUGAUAACUAUGCUGUUGACAUCAUGCAUGAUCUGCUAGAGGGUGUGGUACAGUAUGAACUUAAACUGGUUUUUGAGUACCUUGUUAAACAGGAUGCAGAGCUUUAAUUGUGGUUACACAGACCGUAAAAACAAACCAAGUGGGUUAAAAAUGGAUGAUAAGUGCAAACACCUGGGUUUGAAUGCCAUACAGUCAUGGUGUCUUCUGCACAACACUCCACUGAUAUUUGGUGGUCAUUGAAAGGAAUAACAAUAACUGGAACUUUCUCCUACUUUUGAUACAGAUUAUAUAUAUAUAUAUAU